CCAGAGAACUUUCCAGAGAUGGAUUGGUGCCUUCGGGAACUCUGAGACAGGUGCUGCAUGGCUGUCGUCAGCUCGUGUUGCGAAUGUUGGGUUAAGUCCCGCAACGAGCGCAACCCUUAUCCUUUGUUGCCAGCGGUUAGGCCGGGAACUCAAAGGAGACUGCCAGUGAUAAACUGGAGGAAGGUGGGGAUGACGUCAAGUCAUCAUGGCCCUUACGAGUAGGGCUACACACGUGCUACAAUGGCGCAUACAAAGAGAAGCGACCUCGCGAGAGCAAGCGGACCUCAUAAAGUGCGUCGUAGUCCGGAUUGGAGUCUGCAACUCGACUCCAUGAAGUCGGAAUCGCUAGUAAUCGUGGAUCAGAAUGCCACGGUGAAUACGUUCCCGGGCCUUGUACACACCGCCCGUCACACCAUGGGAGUGGGUUGCAAAAGAAGUAGGUAGCUUAACCUUCGGGAGGGCGCUUACCACUUUGUGAUUCAUGACUGGGGUGAAGUCGUAACAAGGUAAGCGUAGUGCU
rnacentral:rRNA from 1 species